rnacentral:rRNA from 1 species
AAGUAAGAAAGGGCGCAUGGCGGAUGCCUUGGCUCACGGAGGCGAUGAAGGACGUGAUAAGCUGCGAUAAGCCUUGGGUAGGUGCAAAUAACCAUUGAUCCAAGGAUUUCCGAAUGGGACAACCCAGCAGGUUGAAGACCUGUUAUCACUACAAACGUAGUGAGGCGAACGGAGGGAACUGAAACAUCUUAGUACCUUUAGGAAGAGAAAAUAAAUAAUGAUUCCCCUAGUAGUGGCGAGCGAACGGGGAAGAGCCCAAACCUGCUUUGUGGCAACGCUUAGCAGGGGUUGUAGGACCACGUUGUCGUACUUAGAUUGUGAGGAGAAUGUUCUGGAAAGAACAAUCAUAGAGGGUGAUAAUCCCGUACCCGAAGCAUGACGAGACGUAGUGGUAUCCUGAGUAACGCGGAACACGUGAAAUUCUGCGCGAAUCUGCCGGGACCAUCCGGUAAGGCUAAAUACUCCCGUGAGACCGAUAGUGAACGAGUACUGUGAAGGAAAGGUGAAAGCACUCCGAUGAGGAGAGUGAAAUAGUUCCUGAAACCAUGCGCCUACAAGCGGUCGGAGCUGCGUAAGCAGUGACGGCGUGCCUUUUGCAUAAUGAACCUACGAGUUACCAUGUCUGGCAAGGAUAAGCGUCAUGAGACGCGCAUCCGCAGUGAAAGCGAGCCUGAAUAGGGCGUCAAGUCAGAUGGGGUAGACGCGAAACCAAGUGAUCUACACUUGCCCAGGUUGAAGUCCGGGUAACACCGGAUGGAGGACCGCACGGAUAAGCGUUGAAAAGCUUCCCGAUGAGGUGAGUGUAGGAGUGAAAAGGCCAAUCAAACUUGGAGAUAGCUCGUACUCCCCGAAAGGCAUUUAGGUGCCGCGUGCGGCGAUAUCCAUAAGAGGUAGAGCGACCGAUAGGUCAAGAGGGCUUCACCGCCUAUCGAGACCUGACGAACUCCGAAUGCUUAUGGACUGCAGCCGUGCAGUAAGGGGCGGUGCUAAGGUCCGUCCCCGAGAGGAGAAGAAUCCAGACCGCCGUCUAAGGUCCCGAAAUUCUGUCUAAGUUAGUCUAACGAAGUCUGGUCCCCGUGACAGCUGGGAUGUUGGCUUGGAAGCAGCCAUUCAUUCAAAGAGUGCGUAACAGCUCACUCAGCCGAGGGUCCGGGCAUGGAUAAUAAUCGGGUAUAAGUCAGAUACCGAAGGCGCGGGAUAGUAAUGUAUAUUAAAAAGUAUCGGUAGGGGAGCAUUCCAUCGGCGUCGAAUGGUGAAGGUAACUGAUCCCGGAGCUUAUGGAAAAAGCAAAUGUAGGUAUAAGUAACGAUAAAAAGGGUGAGAUUCCUUUCGCCGAAAGACCGAGGUUUCCCGGGCGAUGCCAAUCAGCCCGGGGUUAGUCGGGUCCCUAAGUCUCAGCCGAACGGCGAAGGCGAUGGCAGAUGCGGUUAAUAUUCCGCAACUCGUAUGUUCAGUGAUGUGGAGACGGAGCAGUGACACUGCCGCGCCCUGACGGAAUAGGGCGUUUAAGUGCGUAGGCUAUGAGGAAGGCAGGCAAAUCCACCUUCCGAGCUGAAACAUGAAAAGUGCAGGUGUUCCUUCGGGAAGACUUGAGUGCAGGUAAUCAUACUUCCGAGAAAAAUCCGCUAAACUUAAUGUUCAUACGACCCGUACCGCAAACGGACACACGUGGUCGGGUAGAAUAUACUAAGGCGUUGAGAGAUUCAUGGUUAAGAACUAGGGCAAAUUGACCCCUGUAACUUCGGGAUAAGGGGUCCUCAUAGCAAUAUGAGGCGCAGAGAAUCGGUCCGAGCAACUGUUUAACAAAAACACAGGGCUGUGCAAACUCGAAAGAUGAAGUAUACAGCCUGACACCCUGCCCGGUGCCGGAAGGUUAAGAGGAGAUGUCACCAGCAAUGGGAAGCAUUGAAUUGAAGCCCCGGUAAACGGCGGCCGUAACUAUAACGGUCCUAAGGUAGCGAAAUUCCUUUGUCGGGUAAGUUCCGACCUGCACGAAUGGUGUAAUGAUCUGGACGCUGUCUCAACCAUGAUCUCAGUGAAAUUGUAGUAUCGGUGAAGAUGCCGAUUACCCGCGAUGGGACGAAAAAGACCCCGUGAACCUUUACUACAGCUUAGCAUUGACCUUGGUCAUCCGAUGUAGGGAUAGGCCGGAGGCUUUUGAAGCGGGUGCGCCAGCAUUCGUGGAGCCAUCCUUGAAAUACGGCCCUUUGGCUGUCUGAGGUCUAACGCGCCCUGUGGCGCGGACACUGCUUGGUGGGUAGUUUGACUGGGGUGGUCGCUCCAAAAGCGUAACGGAGGCUUCCAAAGGAGCCUCGGGCCGAUUGGUAACCGGCCUUAUAGAGUGCAAUGGCAUAGAGGGCGCUUGACUGGGAGGCAGACAUGCCGAGCAGGCAGGAAACUGGGGCAUAGUGAUCCGGCGGACGUAUAUGGAAACUCCGUCGCUCAAAGGAUAAAAAGGUACUCCGGGGAUACAGGCUGAUCCCCCAAGAGCCUCAUAUCGACGGGGUGGUUUGGCACCUCGAUGUCGGCUCGUCAUCAUCCCGGGGCUGGAGAAGGUCCCAAGGGUUGGGCUGUUCGCCCAUUAAAGUGGCACGCGAGCUGGGUUCAGAACGUCGUGAGACAGUUCGGUCUCUAUCUAUCGUGGGCGUUGGAGUUUUUGAGUGGUGCUGACACUCAGUACGAGAGGACCGUGUUGGACAGACCUCCGGUUUACCGGUUGUGCCGCCAGUGCACUGCUGGGUAUCUGAGUCUGGAUUGGAUAAGCGCUGAAAGCAUCUAAGUGCGAAGCCAGCCGCAAGAUGAGAACUCCUCAUAAGGGUCGUCAUAGACGAUGACGUUGAUAGGGUGUAGGUGUAAAGACGGUGACGUCAAAGCCGAGCACUACUAAUUGCCCGAAA